rnacentral:rRNA from 1 species
AAAUUGAAGAGUUUGAUCAUGGCUCAGAUUGAACGCUGGCGGCAGGCCUAACACAUGCAAGUCGAACGGUAACAGGAAGCGCUUGCUGCUUCGCUGACGAGUGGCGGACGGGUGAGUAAUGUCUGGGAAACUGCCUGAUGGAGGGGGAUAACUACUGGAAACGGUAGCUAAUACCGCAUAACGUCGCAAGACCAAAGAGGGGGACCUUCGGGCCUCUUGCCAUCGGAUGUGCCCAGAUGGGAUUAGCUUGUUGGUGGGGUAACGGCUCACCAAGGCGACGAUCCCUAGCUGGUCUGAGAGGAUGACCAGCCACACUG